rnacentral:rRNA from 14 species
AGAAAGCGUAAUAGCUCACUGGUCGAGUCGGUCCGCGCGGAAGAUGUAACGGGGCUAAGCGAUGUACCGAAGCUGCGGGUGCAUAGCAAUAUGCGCGGUAGAGGAGCGUUCCGUAAGCCUGCGAAGGUGACUCGUAAGGGUUGCUGGAGGUAUCGGAAGUGCGAAUGCUGACAUGAGUAACGAUAAUGCAGGUGAAAAACCUGCACGCCGUAAGCCCAAGGUUUCCUGCGCAACGAUUUUCGGCGCAGGGUAAGUCGGAUCCUAAGGCGAGGCCGAAAGGCGUAGUCGAUGGGAACCACGUUAAUAUUCGUGGGCCAAGGGAUGAGUGACGGAUUUCGAAAGUUGUAUUCCCUUAUUGGAUUGGGAAUGCAGCCUGGAAGUUCCUGGAAAUAGCCUCCCUAUUAGACCGUACCCGAAACCGACACAGGUGGACUGGUAGAGUAUACCAAGGCGCUUGAGAGAAGUGUACUGAAGGAACUCGGCAAAUUAC